AUUAGCUAAACAAAGAAAUCAUGGCGGAUUGUUUACAUUUGGCAGCGCCCGGGCCGAGCAACCGCCGGCCCCCAGCAGCCGCCGCGGCCCCCGAGGAGUCGGCGAAAUGCCCCCGCGCCCCGGCCGGAGAUUUGAAACUAUCGCUUUGCUGAAAACAUCUGGCUGCCGGUCUAGAAUCUGACUCAAGAUUCUCUAUCUACUGUGGUGAUGCUAUUAUUUGGAACUUACCGAUUUGGGCUCCUUCCAGACCUGAAAACUGAUUACAAAUAUGAAACAGAUUUCACUACUGGACUGAAGCUCCACAUAAAAAAGAAGAAGAUCCUCAAAAUAAUUGAAAAGGGUCCUCACCAAAGAAUAGAUGCAAUGUGACUGGCAGGAUAUGAACGAGGUUGCAGUGCUCACAAGUGAAGAAUAUGGCAUCUAAAGGUGACCCUCCCCAUAAAGCUGGGACCCUAAAGAGCCACACUCUCAAUUAUCCCACACGGAGUUGUUGGAAUUACCUUGUGAUGAUUUCAAAGAACAUUUUCUUCUCUACACACUCUUAUCCCAAGAGGGAAGAACACACCAAGGAAGUCAAAAUGAGAAAAGGAAGCAGCCAGGCCUGAGACUCCCUGAGAAAGAGAAGAGUACCAUGUUCUCCAAGGCUGAUCCCAAAGGCACAACCAAGCUCCUCCCAAGUUAGAGAGUUUUCAGCUGAGUGAAGAAGUAGUGAGCACUAAACAUGUGGCAAGCAUUAAACACAUUUAAAGGGAGAUGCGUCUUCGAGAUACCUAGGAGACCAGGAGCUGAUUUCCACUGGAAGAUGCUGGGUUGUGAUCCAGAGCAGAAAACACAAUAAAAAGAAGAGCCCGAGGAUUUGAGAGAAGGUUUGGAACGUGGCGAUGGAGGAAUAACAUUCCUAGGAGAAGUGAAGAUACUUUCUCCUCCCUGGUCCACCUGAGCAUGCAGCGUCCAGUGAAAGUGAUGAGAGGAUAUGGUGUUUGUGAAGUGUACACAUGCAGUGACACCCUCACCUUCCUAACAUCUACAGAUGCCAUCGUAGACAUUUUUCAAGCCCUCUUUUUGCCAUACACACAGCUUGGAAUACUUUGGUAGGCCUUUUACCUAAUUUUUAACCCUCAGAGAUGCUAAGGCAGAGGCAAGAAUAUGGUAUAAAUGGAAUGAAUGAAGGCAAAUGAGUGCAAAGAGAAGCAUUUACCUAACCUCAGCAAGAUAGACAGAUAGGUCUUUCCUAAAUUGUUGUAUAAGUAAAGAGCUAUUGGAUCAAUCUUUAUGUGAUCGUUCCUCCCUAGUUUUAAUAAAAUAUUCCAGUUUGGGGGAAAUUCCUUCCCUUGUCAAUAAAAUAUAAAAAGAAGAAAACUUUAAAAUA